GUGCCAGUUCAAGACUCCCUUCAGCAGCACAAAUACUGAAAUGGGAACCAUGCAGAGAAGAUUAGCAUGGCUUCUGCACAAGGAUGACAUGUCAAUCUGUGGAGGAUUCCACAAAAAA
ensembl:snRNA U6 U6 spliceosomal RNA